ensembl:snRNA U4 U4 spliceosomal RNA
AGCGUUGCACAGUGGCAGUGUCACAGUCAAUGAGGUUUAUCCAAGGUGCAAUUAUUGCUAAUUGGAAACUUUCCAAUACCCCACCAUGACAACUUGAAAUGUAGUCAGCACUGGCAAUUUUUGACAGUCUCUACAGAGA